rnacentral:rRNA from 1 species
ACGGAAGGUCCGGGCGUUAUCCGGAUUUAUUGGGUUUAAAGGGAGCGUAGGCCGCCAGGUAAGCGUGUUGUGAAAUGUACCGGCUCAACCGGUGAAUUGCAGCGCGAACUGUCUGGCUUGAGUGCACGGUAAGCAGGCGGAAUUCAUGGUGUAGCGGUGAAAUGCUUAGAUAUCAUGAAGAACUCCGAUUGCGAAGGCAGCUUGCUGCAGUGCGACUGACGCUGAUGCUCGAAGGUGCGGGUAUCAAACAG